UAACAUCGUUUUAAGAAAAUACCGAUUUAAAUGUAUAUCAUUAACAUCGGGUCUUAAAAUGACCGGUGUUAAAAGUUUUGUUUGAAAAUUUGCGGAAACCUACUUUUGCAAAACGCGCUAAGUGUUUUAAGUGAAUUGAAGAAGCGGGGACUAAAUGUAAAAACUUUCACACUUAGACAAAAAAAUUAAAGCCCGACCCCAAAACUGAAACACAAACCCUAAGCUCAGUGUCGACUGUCGACCUCCAUUCUCAACCCAGACUCGAGCUCCUCCUCCUCCUCACCAUCACAAUCCUCCCUCCUCCAUUCUCAGGCGGAAUCUGAAGCGCCGAGAUCCCGACCUCGAUCUAAAAUUGAAGUAACAGCUCUGAAUCUUGAGCCCGGCCUCGAUCUGAGAUUGGCAGAGUUGAAGAAAUUAAAGAGGAAUGGUUCUUUCCUCUCAAGCCCCACCGAAGUCGGGGUUGGAGCCCUAAACUCGAACACAGCAACCCAGCUGCACUCAACUGCGCUGUUUCUGACUCUCUCCGUGACUCCGUGUCUCCGUCUCCGCCGUUUCUGACUCUCUCCGUCCCCGACUCUCAGUCUCCCGUCUCCGAGUCUCCCGUCUCCGAGCUCCAGAUUGGAGCUACUUUCAUGGCCAGGCGGCCAGCAGAAUCUAGAUGACUAGAUCGGGAAAAUCGAUCCCAUUGAUCUGCUAUGAUGCUUCUUUGCUUCGGUCAAUCUCGACCAAACGAUUACCUCAAUGAAAAUUGAAAUCCAGAAAGAAAGAGACGAGACGAAACAAAGAGAGAGAAGAGAGAACGGGGAAGAAGGAAAAGAAGGAGAAGAAGGUUUAGGGUCUUGAUUCAUCUACCCAUAAAAGGAUAAUUGAUUGAUUGAUUGUCCUAUUUGCACCGACUUCGGCAUUUACACCGACUUCAACUUUGUCAUCAAGAUCGAUCUUGAUCAAAAUUUGGUUUUCUAAGUUCUAUGCAAAGAAAUGUGUGCAUUAUUCUUCUGCCGCUGUUCCUGUGUACGUUGUUUGGCAUUAUCUCAGUCUCUUAUUCCUAUUCAGCAAUUAUCGGUGACAACAACAGAAAAGGAGCAUAUCUUAUCACUUUUGCUACUGUUCAUCCAACUCGAUUAGCAAGUUUAAAGCAGAACAGCAGCUAUAGUGUCAAAGCUCCAGAGUUUAAACUCAAGAGUCAUUACUGGAUACUUGCUAGCAGGAUCUGCCAUUGGACCUAGAGGCUUGAAUUUUGUCAGUGAAAUAGUCCAAGAGGCUUGUCUUUAUUCCUAUUUUGCUUGAUUGAUUCUUUCUUUGCGCUUCCCCUAUUUUGCCAUUCAGUAUAGGUGGAUCUAUAAUUUUCUUGUCAUUAAUUUAUGUGUGUUUACAUUUGGUAAAGUCCAGUUAUAUUAGUAUUGAGAUUCACUGCCUUUUUAGUACCUUUUAAGCUCAGACAUGUCGGUAUUUCUUUUUGUUGAGUUUAGUAAUACUAGAAAUCACUGUCAUUAGGUUUAUGUUGCACUGUGAAACUGACUUUGUCAUUCUCUUGCAGGGUCUUCGAUUACAAGUUGUGAAAUAUUUGGCUGCCAAAUAUGAAGAGCUAGGGUGUGAAGUGAAAUGGAUGGGCAAGCCUGAUAAGGUGAUCUAGUCACAUUGGUCCUGGUUACCGCUGUUAACUUCACUUCAUGUGAACCUUUAGCUUAAUACAUAUUUCUCUUGCACUUGACUACCAAGAUGAAUUUUGAGCAAGGCUACUUUUUGCUUUGAAGCAAAGUUUGGUGUAGAAAUUUUGUAGAUUGUUGCUCAUAUGUUUCUAGGCUAUCCUUUGUAUGUUUUGGGGUUUUCUUUUGUGACAUAUGUUCAAUCAUGAAUUUGGAAAGAAAAUUAAUGGAAAGUCCCAAUUUUUGGA